GAUGAACGCUGGCGGCGUGCCUAAUACAUGCAAGUCGAGCGAACAGAUAAGGAGCUUGCUCCUUUGACGUUAGCGGCGGACGGGUGAGUAACACGUUGGUAACCUACCUAUAAGACUGGAAUAACUCCGGGAAACCGGGGCUAAUGCCGGAUAACAUUUAGAACCGCAUGGUUCUAAAGUGAAAGAUGGUUUUGCUAUCACUUAUAGAUGGACCCGCGCCGUAUUAGCUAGUUGGUAAGGUAACGGCUUACCAAGGCAACGAUACGUAGCCGACCUGAGAGGGUGAUAGGCCACACUGGAACUGAGACACGGUCCAGACGCCUACGGGAGGCAGCAGUAGGGAAUCUUACGCAAUGGGCGAAAGCCUGACGGAGCAACGCCGCGUGAGUGAUGAAGGUCUUCGGAUCGUAAAACUCUGUUAUUAGGGAAGAACAAAUGUGUAAGUAACUGUGCACGUCUUGACGGUACCUAAUCAGAAAGCCACGGCUAACUACGUG
rnacentral:rRNA from 1 species